rnacentral:rRNA from 1 species
UUAUGCUGUUAUCCCUAAAGUAAUUAAUUUUAUUAUAUUUAAUAUUAAAGAUUAUUUAUUCAAUAAUAGUUGUAUUUUAAUUAAAAAAUUUUUUAAAUUUUUAAAUUACCCCAAUAAAAUUAAUUAAUAUAUAAAUAUUUAAUAUUUAAUAAAAGUUAUAUUUAAAUUAAUAAAAUUUUAUAGGGUCUUAUCGUCUUUUAAAUUUAUUUAAGUUUUUUUACUUAAAUAAAAAUUUUAAUUUAUUUAAUUUAUAUAGUAUAUAUUUCAUUAAAUCUUUUAUUCUAGUUUUUAAUUAAAAAACAAAUUAUUAUGCUACCUUUGUACAGUUAUUUAUACUGCAGCCAUUAAAAAAAUAUUCAUUGGGCAGAUUGGACUUAAAA